UACGUAGGGGGCAAGCGUUGUCCGGAUUUAUUGGGCGUAAAGAGCGUGUAGGCGGCUUUGCAAGUCCGUUGUGAAAACUCGAGGCUCAACCUCGAGACGCCGGUGGAAACUGCAAAGCUAGAGUCCGGAAGAGGAGAGUGGAAUUCCGUGGUGUAGCGGUGAAAUGCGCAGAUAUCAGGAAGAACACCCGUGGCGAAGGCGGCUCCUCUGGGAAGCGGGUACUGACG
rnacentral:rRNA from 1 species